AGUNCUGNAGUGAGUGUCACGUCAAAUUGCAAANUUGAAAAAGUCCUAUUUGGUCCCAGGGCUU
rnacentral:tRNA from 1 species